UACGUAGGGUGCGAGCGUUAAUCGGAAUUACUGGGCGUAAAGCGUGCGCAGGCGGUUAUGUAAGUCCGCUGUGAAAUCCCCGGGCUUAACCUGGGAACUGCAUUGGUGACUGCAUUGCUGGAGUAUGGCAGAGGGGGGUGGAAUUCCACGUGUAGCAGUGAAAUGCGUAGAGAUGUGGAGGAACACCGAUGGCGAAGGCAGCCCCCUGGGCCAAUACUGACGCUCAUGCACGAAAGCGUGGGGAGCAAACAGG
rnacentral:rRNA from 1 species